UUGCCUCUAUUGGAGUCUUCUGGUGAGCUCAGCUGAAGGGUUUCCUCUGGCACAAACAUGUCCCACAUCACCAAUAUUAAUUCAGUUCCUUUGUCAUCAGUUUCAGGACCAACUAAUUUUGCUUACCACCUUAAAAUGGCCAAAUGAUAACUGGAGGUAAACAAGAUAUGAAGAAAAAAAUGGAACAGAGGAAAUGUUUAAUGUUUUUUCUUAGA